GAGUUUGAUCGUGGCUCAGGAUGAACGCCGGCGGUGUGCCUAAUACAUGCAAGUCGUACGCACUGGCCCAACUGGUUGAUGGUGCUUGCACCUGAUCGACGAUGGGUCACCAGUGAGUGGCGGGACGGGGUGAGUAACACGUAGGUAACCUGCCCUGUACAGGGGGAUAACAAUCAGAAAUGACUGCUAAUACCGCAUAAGACCACAGCACCGCAUGGUGCAGGGGUAAAAACUCCGGUGGUACAGGAUGGACCCGCGUCUGAUUAGCUGGUUGGUGAGGUAACGGCUCACCAAGGCGACGAUCAGUAGCCGGCUUGAGAGAGUGAACGGCCACAUUGGGACUGAGACACGGCCCCAAACUCCUACGGGAGGCAGCAGUGGGGAAUAUUGCACAAUGGGGGAAACCCUGAUGCAGCAACGCCGCGUGAGUGAAGAAGUAUUUCGGUAUGUAAAGCUCUAUCAGCAGGGAAGAAAGUGACGGUACCUGACUAAGAAGCCCCGGCUAACUACGUGCC
rnacentral:rRNA from 1 species